GCAAGAGCUCACGCUCCCGGCCUGGGCGCACGCUUAGGAUCCGGAUUCCUACUUCCAGGGCUGGUCCUGCCUGAUUUUGGGGGCUAACCCAUUCUUCCGCUCUCCCCCCACUCUUCCCCAGGGGUCGUCAGGCCUCUGCAAAGGAGCGUGCAAGACAGAGGCCUUCUCCAGUAUGGAAGUCACCAGGAGGCAGUCUAGGGGCUGUGGGGGUCAACACGGCAGGUCUGGGGUUGAUGGAAGUCAAAGGGUCAAGGGGGCGGUGAGAGUUGCCGGGUAUCACCCUGUAGGGGGAUCACCAGAAGUCACCUGGGAAAGGGGAGGGCGGCGGGAACAUCAGCGUUGUUAGAGCUGUGGGGUGGUCACCAGGGAUCACAGGGAAGGGCUUGUCCACGCAGAUGCUAGGGCCGAGCGCUAGCCUGGCACUGAGAAGUGCCAGAGCGCGGUCGUUGUGGGUUGGGAGUGGGCAGGCCUCAAUGCUGGGGAAAGGAACCCCCCAAAUCGCAGAGAGCUGCACCCUAGACGAGGCUGAGAGGGGUAGAACGGGCCUGGAGCCUCACUCCUACCCCACGUGUGGGGGCCUGCCUGCUUUCGUCCCUUUCUGGACGGUGGAGAAGCUGCCUGGAGAUUGCGAGCGCUCUGGCCGAUGGGGGGCUAGCGUUGAGCGUGUGUGCGCGCAUGCGGGCUGCAGAUCCUCCCUUUUCCAUCCCGCACCUACAACCCAAUUGACAGCCCCGCAUUUGGGGCUCCCAUUCCUCCCUUUGCCCAGUGGAGCUUGGUGAGGCUCCUUUAUGGCGCGUUUCCCGGCCGUUCCUUACUUUCCCAAACUCUCCCAGGGAGGUGACUGAGAAACUGAAUAAGUGACUGAGAAACUGAAUAAUCCAGCAGGAAGGAGGGGGCUCCAGCGUGGCGGGAACUGAGUCACGCGGUUGCCUAGCCCGACUCGAGACUGAGACGGGAGCCGCACCACGCGCUUUCGGACAAGGAGGGUGCUGCGGCCCGGCCCCUGGACAAUGGAGAGAGCGGGGCACCCGGGCGCAUCACCAGAGCUCAUGCCCGGGAAAGGGGCGAGGCCCGGGGGGAGAGAGCUCAGCGUAGCUCCACUUGGCAGCUAAAGAAACAGGCGCCCGGGACGGAAAUGACUCGCGCCCGGACACGGCGACAGGGAGAGCAUGGGAAGUGCUUCCUUCGCCCGGCGGGUUCGAGCGAGUAGCACUUUACUUUCCCUACAGGUGGAGGCGGGCCUUGGUGCGCGGCUGUCCAUCUCCGGACCGCCCACCCGGGCACUGGCCCAUGCGUCUCCUCCCCCGGAAGCGGUAAGCGAAUCAGGCGCGGGGGAAGGGAGAACGUUGCUCCUCGGGCCCCUCCUCCCGAUAAGCCUGGAAUGUCAAAUAUUUGUUCGCGGGGCGGGGCGCAACCGCGAGUAACGCUCCUCCCCCUCCCGCCCGGUAGGGCGCCUGCGCUUGGUGGAGGCG
rnacentral:lncRNA from 1 species